AUUGAACGCUGGCGGCAUGCCUUACACAUGCAAGUCGAACGGCAGCAUGGAGAGCUUGCUCUCUGAUGGCGAGUGGCGAACGGGUGAGUAAUGCAUCGGAACGUACCGUGUAAUGGGGGAUAACGUAGCGAAAGUUACGCUAAUACCGCAUACGACCUGAGGGUGAAAGCAGGGGAUCGCAAGACCUUGCGUUAUACGAGCGGCCGAUGUCAGAUUAGCUAGUUGGUGAGGUAAAGGCUCACCAAGGCGACGAUCUGUAGCGGGUCUGAGAGGAUGAGCCGCCACAAUGGGACGGAGACACGGCCCAGACUCCUACGGGAGGCAGCAGUGGGGAAUUUUGGACAAUGGGGGAAACCCUGAUCCAGCCAUGCCGCGUGAGUGAAGAAGGCCUUCGGGUUGUAAAGCUCUUUCGGCCGGGAAGAAAUCGCACAGGCUAAUACUCUGUGUGGAUGACGGUACCGGCAUAAGAAGCACCGGCUAACUACGUGCCAGCAGCCGCCGUAA
rnacentral:rRNA from 1 species